UACGUAGGGUGCAAGCGUUGUCCGGAAUUAUUGGGCGUAAAGGGCUCGUAGGCGGUUUGUCGCGUCGGGAGUGAAAACUCAGGGCUUAACCCUGAGCCUGCUUCCGAUACGGGCAGACUAGAGGUAUGCAGGGGAGAACGGAAUUCCUGGUGUAGCGGUGAAAUGCGCAGAUAUCGGGAGGAACACCGGUGGCGAAGGCGGUUCUCUGGGCAUUACCUGACGCUGAGGAGCGAAAGU
rnacentral:rRNA from 1 species